rnacentral:piRNA from 1 species
UGAUGCUAUUGGCAGAUGAUGGAGU